UCGUUCUGCUUGAAUAAAUCAAGACAUAGAUCAAUUUUUAUCGUAUCAUCGUGAUUCGCCAUGUCGUACGUUUGGUUUCGGGAUACCAUAUGUUUUUAAUUUGGUACUUUUAAUUUGAAAUUUUACGUCUAUGAUUGUGACAGGAAGAUACUUACAGUGAAUUAUAAAUAUUUCAAAUUAUAAAUUAUAAAUAUUUGUUAUAAAUUACAAUCAUACUACGGGGAAAAGUGAAACAUAUGUUUUCUUGUGGAACAUGCGAUAGUAAAUUAUUCGAAGCAUAAUAAUGCUUAAUUAAACAUCUAUACGGUAACAUUUACGGACGAAUAUUCGGGUAAUAUUAUCGCGUCGCUCUAAUCUGGCAUUUAAUGCUUUGAUUGCGGUCUUUGAAAUGGCAUCACAGAUGCUGGUAUAAUAUCACACGAAAAAGGAAGGACCAGUGGUUAAUGUUGCAAGUGCACCAGUGCGUUGCAGCCAUCGGGCGUGGCUUUGACGCCGGUGCCGCGGAGAGGCGCAGAACGUGUUCGAUCGAUCCGCGAACGCAGCCCGUGCUCAUACUGCGACAGAGUUCGUUUCAGUUAGUCUCAGUCGCUGUUUGGCCGUCGACAGCGUAUAGUCGCGCCGGCCGACGAUUAUUUUUUCUUUUUUUGUUUCUCGAUAAUUCUCUCGCAACACUCGUUCUAUACGUACACCAUCAAUUUAUCGCGUGAUCAUUGUUACCGCUUCCCCUACCUUGUCACGUCCUUCAAAGAAGAUUUUCCUUCAGUUUUUUGUUGUUUGGGGAAAAUUCAUCGCUCGGACACAUGGAUUUAUCGACACGACGGUUUAUCGAGGCAUCAGCGUGAUUUGGCCGGCCUGCAACCCACAUACGGCACUUAAUAAAAAUUUGUUUCGUUAGAGGUCGGUGUUUGUUCGUCUUCGUCAUAAAAAUGUCAUGACGUCAUAUCAUAUCACAAGGGUUCUUCUGAAAGCUAGAUAUUCGAUAACAAGAUUAAUGGUUUUCGGUAGCUUGCAAUGUCAAGCUUUGAACUGGCGGGAUCGCCUUGCUGUCAAAUCUCCAUUCAGCAGCGACCAUAUUCUUUAACUACGUUCAAGACCUAUAUCACGCUACAGAAACCAUCAAAGGAGGAUAAUUGCAAGUUAGUUGCCUCUUAGAAACGAGACAGUUGGUUGUUACUUGUUAUCCGUAGUUGGUAGUUGUUCUCCUUAGUCGCCACAUAUUAUAGAGACGACAUUCAUAGUCACCAGUUGCCUUCGCUAAUAGUUUCUUGUUGUCUGUAGUUAGUUCUCGUCAUCGCUAUGUAUUCCAUCAACCACGUAAAAUUUAACAUAUAGGAUUUUAUUCUUUUUUAUUCUUUCUGUAGGAAGAUUCUUUAAGUAAUAUGAAUUUAAGUAACUAUUUUAUGAUACAAUAAAGUGGAAAAACGAUUAUUUUACGUAAUGUAAUGUUUUAAAGAACAUUGAAUUUAAAGGAUUCAGAUAGAUAUCUUAAACGUAAUUAAACCCUCCAUAUCGUAACAAAUUGAAAGAAAUUGCGCAUGAAAGUUAAUACACUUAAUGCAUAAAACAUAUAUUUAAAAUCCAAAUGUAGGCGUUGACGCGUGCGUGCUACAUGUUCGAAACGUUCGUUACAUCCGCGAUAAAAUUUGUAACGACGAAGAAGCUUAACAUAUGGUGUGCUUCAAGACGACAGUAAAAAGUGUUGGCGGAUUUUUCGAAAUUUCUUCCAUUCUUAAUAAAAAUAUAUUGUAUAAAUAUAGUAGGAUUUUUCAAAUUUAAAUAGUUAUAAUGAUUUGAAACUUUACAAUCGUACGGUUCUGUUUUAUCCUUUGAAUAUACCUGUCAUUUUCAUAUCUCCUUUUAACUAAACUAAAUAUUUGGAAAUCCUAUAAUUUGUACACUUCUAUUUGUGAAUAAGAUCGAUGAAAUUAAAGCGUAACUAUGCUUUCAAUAAUGGCUUCGAUGUAUUGCUCACCAUUAUGGCGGAUUAACGUCUCUAAGUGAUCGACCUUAAUCACUAAAUGGCAGCCGCGAUUCAGUGGUAGAGCCUUACACAUGACGGACAUUGCAAGCGCUUGUAAGACGUCUAUUGUGAAACGUUUCCAAUAGCAUCGAUUACGACGACGGUGAAAUCCGAAUAGAAAUAUAUAUCGCGUAUCGCUUCAGCCUGACAUGUCUUAAAAUAGAAUCACAAUUUUUCGUUCUUAAAAAAAAAAAAAAAAAAAAAAAGUCUAUAAAAAUUAUAUGCAAAUAAAAUAGAUAAAUGGAUAAAUGGUUGUACAAAUUUAUAAAACAGAUAUUACAAAUAUACGUAAAUAAAUUAUAUAUUUAUAAAUUGUUUGUUUAAAUAUCUGUUUGUUUAAAUAAAUAAAACGGAUAUUUACAAUGAACUUACAAUGAACGUAGUCCUGUUUUUAGUUUUAAACAAAGCAAAAACGGAUAACAACUUUUUAAAAUGUAAAACUCAACGCAACAGUGGUUUUUUUUAAUUAAUCAAUAACGUUCAAAGUUAAUUAAUUUAGAGUGGUUUGUACAUUUUGUAUGCUCGCCGUAUUUUAACGUUUGAUGUAUAACGUUUGAUGUAGUACUUGAUGCCCGAAAAAUCGAAAAAUAAUUAAAUUUGAUCGUUUUAUAUCGUUUUAUAAAUUUGAUCGUUUAAUAUAUUUUUCUUUUUUCGAUUAUUGUUGUCAACUUUUGUGUGGAAUAAAUCAAUUCCGUGAAUAGAAGUGCAAUCAAUACAGCUUACUAUGAAAUGAUAGCACAACAACAGUACAUAUCGCCAUUGACGUCAGCUUCACAAAAUUUCUCGAGUAUCGAGCUCGUCCAUUUGGGUUAAGAAUUUAUUUCCAAAAUGCCACAAGCACGAAUAUCUUAUGGAAAUCCACUGUAUUUCCACUGUAAUUAUUAAUAAUCAGAUUCCAUAUUGUAUGCUACGAUUCGAGGAAAAUCCGCAGCUAAUUAUUAUCUUUGCUGCCUUUAAAUACCAUAAAUAGUCGUCCGUAAAUUUUAAAAGAUUUUCUGUGCCAUACUUAUAUUGUGUAUUUUAGUCUUAAGGUGCGGGUCGUGUUCAAUUAAUCGAAAGUGAUGAAACUGUAAUGGGUCACGAUAGUCAAAUAUUAAAAAUGGUCUCGUUGGCUACAUUUAAAAUCUUUACGAGAUAUAUAUGCAUAGUACGUUGCUACUAGCAACGGGUAGCGAUGAGCAAUAGAGAACAGUACCUUCCUUAUCUCGUCGUGAUUAUGUACAUACCAGUAAUGCACGGUACUCGUACUGAAUAUCUUACAUCAUCUACAUAGAUUUUCAGAUUUGUUUCGAAUAUUACCAGCAUAACCAUGAUAGUAGAAUUCUGUUACAGUAUUAAUUCUAUAGUGCCGUUAUGCAUAAUACAGCCCUAAAAUGUUUCUACAAAUAUACGAAUAUUUUCGUCAGCUACUAUAUUCCAACCAUGGCUUAUUAUGAAAGGAAAUAUAUAACGAAAUUACUUGUUUUUUUAGACUAAAUUAUGUUAAUUUGAAUAAUUUUAGUAAUUGUGUAGGAUCGAACAACAACUUAUCAUUAGCUUCACUCGAGACUUGAUUGCACGUAGCAACGUAAUUGCGUUGGAACUGAGGGUAGAAAACAAUGUCAACCGUUAGACGCGUCCGUCUGGCGAAUGUGUAACGCGUGAAUAAUAGAUGGCGGCAAUCACGUGAACCCUACUUAUAGAUGUCUCGGCUUAUAUCGUAGCAUUCAACCUAGGGUAUAACGAUAGGGAUCAUUAGAAGUUGAAAGGCCGGCUGAUCAGCCUCAUUUUGUUCCAUUUUUUAAUCAAGCGAUGAAUCGACAAAUUGUACAGAUUUCGAUGGUUAUCACAGUUCUCUGGGAAUUUUGAAGCGCGGUUCGUCGAAUUUAGUCGGAUUGGCUACAGACUCUUUUACGAGGAGCUUGAAACUCGAUCUAGUUUCGAGAAAAUGAAAAAUUCGUUUUAUCUCUUUGCUUCCCUGUUCCUUCCUUCCUCUUUUUUUUUUUUUUUUUUUUUUCUUUUUUACAUUGCGUUAAGACCGGCUAAAUAAUAUUGAUUGCCAUGGACGUUGGCUGGUUCAAAAUCACUGACAUCGACGAUAACAAAAAUAUUUCUGGUCUACGCACUCCAGUGCCCACACAGCAGUUAUUGAAACAGCUGAUUUUCGCCUAUUCUAGAGCGACAACAUCCCCUGAUCUUUUACAACCAUGAAGGACCUAUACUCGAAAAUACUUGCAAUUCUCAUCUGCUUGCAGGUUAUUUUUGUCACUUUCUUCCCGGCAGGGACUGGUAAGUUGAUACUGAUUAAUUAUAUCAUCGAAAUUCUAUAUAA